rnacentral:rRNA from 1 species
GACGAACGCUGGCGGCGUGCCUAAUACAUGCAAGUUGAGCGAUGAAGCUUGGUGCUUGCCCCAAUUUGAAGAGCAGCGAACGGGUGAGUAACGCGUGGGGAAUCUGCCUUUGAGCGGGGGACAACAUUUGGAAACGAAUGCUAAUACCGCAUAACAACUUUAAACAUAAGUUUUAAGUUUGAAAGAUGCAAUUGCAUCACUCAAAGAUGAUCCCGCGUUGUAUUAGCUAGUUGGUGAGGUAAAGGCUCACCAAGGCGAUGAUACAUAGCCGACCUGAGAGGGUGAUCGGCCACAUUGGGACUGAGACACGGCCCAAACUCCUACGGGAGGCAGCAGUAGGGAAUCUUCGGCAAUGGACGAAAGUCUGACCGAGCAACGCCGCGGGAGGGAAGAAGGGUGUCGGAUCGUAAAACUCUGUUGGUAGAGAAGAACGUUGGUGAGAGUGGAAAGCUCAUCAAGUGACGGUAACUACACAGAAAGGGACGGCUAACUACGUG